UGUGUAAUCUUUUGUAAUCAUCAUCAUCGUUAUUAUUAUUAAAAUAAUCAUCGUUUGUUGGUUGGUUGGUCAAUUUAUAAUAUUCAGAUCUUGGUUUGUUCAGCGGUUUUGUAUCAACAAUUAUUUUCAUAAAUCAUCAAACAGAAACCAGAAAAAUAGUAUAUCGUUCUUAUUUUGAAUAGAUGAUGAUGAUGAUGAUGAAUUUAAGCCUAUUUAGUAUAUAUAACUUGUAAGAUUUUUAUCGCUCGACAAUCAUCAUCAUCAUGAUCCAUUGAAUUUCAGAAUAAGGUAAUGAAAUGAUGGAUAAGGAUGAUGAUGAUGAAAAUAGAAAAAAAAACUUGAAGAUGAUGUCGAUGUUAUUAUUGAUGACGAUGAUACAACCGUUAUAAGCUAUAGCCAUUGGCAAUUGGACAACGAUCUUCAUCAUCAUCAUCAUCAUCAGGAUGAAUUGAAUUGCAAUAUGAUGAUGUAUAAAAAAAAUAAAGAAAAAAAAAUCAUCCGGUUUAUCAUCAUCAUCAUCAUGAGGUGAAUGAGCAAUCAAUGAACAGCGAAAUUCGUUUCCAUUCCCCGCCAUCACCACCACCACCACCAUCAUCAUCAUCAUCAUCAUCAUCGUUGUAGUCUUAAAUAUCCAUCGAAUUCAAACAUAUAAUGGUAUUAGUGGUGAUGGUUGACUUCCUUGGUUUGAUUAUCAUUUUGUUGGCUAAAAAAAAAUUGGUUUCAAUAAGACAAAAUUGUCUUUCUCUCUCUC